AACGAACGCUGGCGGCAGGCUUAACACAUGCAAGUCGAACGCAUCCUUCGGGGUGAGUGGCAGACGGGUGAGUAACGCGUGGGAACGUGCCCUUCAGUUCGGGAUAACCCAGGGAAACUUGGGCUAAUACCGGAUACGUGCGAGAGCAGAAAGAUUUAUCGCUGAAGGAUCGGCCCGCGUCUGAUUAGCUAGUUGGUGGGGUAAUGGCCCGCCAAGGCGACGAUCAGUAACUGGUCUGAGAGGAUCAUCAGCCACAUUGGGAAUGAGACACGGCCCAAACUCCUACGGGAGGCAGGAGUGGGGAAUAUUGGACACUGGGCGCAAGCCUGAUCCAGCCAUGCCGCGUGAGUGAUGAAGGCCUUAGGGUUGUAAGCCUCUUUUAGUAGGGAAGAAGCGAAAGUGACGGUACCUGCAGAAAAAGCACCGGCUAACUACGUGCCAGCCGCCGCAGUAA
rnacentral:rRNA from 1 species